AUUGAACGCUGGCGGCAGGCCUAACACAUGCAAGUCGAACGGUAACAGGAAGAAGCUUGCUUCUUUGCUGACGAGUGGCGGACGGGUGAGUAAUGUCUGGGUAACUGCCUGAUGGAGGGGGAUAACUACUGGAAACGGUAGCUAAUACCGCAUAACGUCGCAAGACCAAAGAGGGGGACCUUCGGGCCUCUUGCCAUCGGAUGUGCCCAGAUGGGAUUAGCUAGUAGGUGGGGUAACGGCUCACCUAGGCGACGAUCCCUAGCUGGUCUGAGAGGAUGACCAGCCACACUGGAACUGAGACACGGUCCAGACUCCUACGGGAGGCAGCAGUGGGGAAUAUUGCACAAAGGGCGCAAGCCUGAUGCAGCCAUGCCGCGUGUAUGAAGAAGGCCUUCGGGUUGUAAAGUACUUUCAGCGGGGAGGAAGGGAGUAAAGUUAAUACCUUUGCUCAUUGACGUUACCCGCAGAAGAAGCACCGGCUAACUCCGUG
rnacentral:rRNA from 1 species